ensembl:lncRNA
CAGAGCACGUCACAAAUGGGACUGCCUUGUCCCCAGAACCGUAACUGCGGAGGUUCCCACCUUCUAUUUUCCCACCCUACCUCCCUGCCCCACUUCUGCGCCCUGGGUUCUGAAUUACCAGUCAGAUUCCCUCACUUCGCUGCUCGGAUCCCUUCAGCAUCCUUCCAUCUCACUAGGAAUAAAAUACAGAAUCUCGACCACACUUCGCAAGCCCUCGUCUGCUGUAUCCUUCCAGGCACACACUGGCUUCGUGGCAUCUCGGCUCUUCUCUCUUCUCCUGAAUCCUCUCCCUGUCACCUGUGGACCUGGCCGGGGCAGUUCCCUCGGGGGCCGUUUACCUGGGCUGUUUCUGCGCUCACGUACCCACAGAAAACAAAAUGGGUGUGAGUCGUAUUUAAUUAAGAAUGCAAACCCUGCAAUCUGACUGCCCAGCUUCCUACGCUGUCUUUGCCAUUUACCAGCUGUGCAACAGUGAGCUGCUUCAGUUUCCUCAGCUGCAGAGCAGGAGUAACAGUGCAGCUUCCAGAAGAGCAAAGGGAGAAUCAAAUGAGUUGAUCUGAAAACAUUCAGAACAGUGUCCCUUAUACGUGGAAGGGACACUUUCAUCUCACGUUCAGUAGGAAAGAAACAGCCACUAUUCAGACAGCAAAUAAAAAUCAUCCGAUC